UUGUAGUUUGUUUUGUUACACAGCUGAGCCGUGGUUUUCUGUUGUGCUAUUUGUAACUAUGUGCGGAGUUGAUCUGGUGUGCGCCAUAUAACAAAUCAAGCGCUCCCUUUUGAUUGCCACACCUGCUCCCUUGGAAAGAACAGACAUUUUUGCAUACGACACAGAAGAGUGGAGUAACUGUUGAGCACAGACUGAAAUGGAGGACGGCCCAAACGGAUCCACUGACAGUGGUGAAUAUAAAGUUGCUGAUAUGACAGAUGUCAUUCGCGAGAAAAAGAAGAGACCCAGGAGGAAGCUCUGCUACCUCACUAACAAGAAAAGUUCAUCCAAACAAUGGAAAGACAAAUUGUCAUUAGAAGACAUUGAUGGAAUGUUUGAUGACUUGGAUUCUUCCUCACCUGGUAAUGACAUAAGUCCUCUCCAAGACACUGAUGAGUCAGACCAGAGCAAGAGGGGGAUUUCACCAGUAUUACAGAAAAGAAGCCUUAUCGUAAAACUUCCGGGUUCUGGGAGAGAUAUUUUGAAUUUUGCAAGAAGGUCACUUGCUCCUGAACUGGAAAAUGGUAAAAACAAGUAUUUUACAGAGAAAUACAUGCAUAGUAAUUUGAUGUGUUUUUUGUGCUGUGUGAAAAUGUUUACAUUUAUUUUUCCAGUUGCAGCCUUGAACGUUCCUUUCAAAUUGCAUGAGCCGGUAAAGACAUCAAGCCUUAUUCAGGAGAAACUUGUUCUUGAAGCCACAGUAGAGGAGGACAAUGAAAGAGCUCUAGUUGUGCCUCAGGUUCUUGAUUUUGAAGAGCCAAACACAGAUCUUGUAACAAUCACAUCCCCCAGCGCAAAGCAUACGUCGCAGAGGAAGAAGUUAAUUCUGAGUUGGAGUCUCCUCCAAGCAGGGUUACUUUGAGUAAACCCACAGUGUCCAGUCACAAAAAACAGGUGGCAACAGAUGGAUGGAACAGAUUCCAAGGUGGUGGGAAAAGGAAGAAAUAGUUGCUGUCUUGCCUUCAUCUAAUAUUUUUUAUCAUGUAAACAGUCUCAGCUAAUGCAGUAAUUGGCAGCAGCCUAGCUUGUGACUCAGCUACAAAGAUUGCUGAGUGGUACAUAAAUCCCCCAGUGCUUCUACGUGAACUACAUUCAUGAACUGGUCACUGGACACUUUAUUGGUUUGUUAGACUUUCACCCACUUUACCAUUAAAUUGUAUCAUGGCAACGUGUUGUAUCUAACAUGCUCUAUACAGUAUAUAUUAUACUGUAUUUGACUGAACUAAAUAAAAUGGAAAUUUAGUCAAGAAAAAGCCAACAUAAAAAACAAAAACAUUUCAUCUGUGGUCUCAUUUGUUUGAGUUGGUGGAACAACCUAUAGAGGGCUUGAAGUCACAUUCACGACUCGGUGAUGAAACAUUUAGAGACCUACUUCAUGGAGGCUGAGCUGUGUUCCUGUAAGCGAAGCUGUUAUAUUUCCUCCCCUGUAAUCUACUGAAUCUUUUAUAAUACACUGAUACAUUUUUUUUCAACAACAACCCUGGGACAACACUAUGUGAAGAACUGUCACAUUAAUUAGUCACUGAGUUAAUGUUAAUUACAAAACGUAAUAAAUAUGCUGCAUAACGUCUUCGUGUUCUAAUUAAGCUUCUUGUUGCUUUCUUCAGGCUAUAAAACGUCCGUCACUGCAGAGUUUCCAGCAGCUUCCCACUGGCAAGAGGACCCUUCUCUCGCCCACCGCAUGCAUAGUGUCCGGAGCAUAAACCAGGACCCAGCUGGACUUCAUGAUGACCCUGUCCAGCCUGUCAGUGAUGCU